rnacentral:rRNA from 1 species
UACGGAGGGUGCAAGCGUUGCUCGGAAUUAUUGGGGCGUAAAGGGUAGGUAGGUGGUCUCAUUUGUCUGGGGUGAAAGCCUUGAGCUUAACUCAAGAAGUGCCCCAGAAACGGUGAGACUCGAGUGCUGGAGAGGGUCGUGGAAUUCCCGGUGUAGCGGUGAAAUGCGUAGAGAUCGGGAGGAACACCAGAGGCGAAGGCGGCGACCUGGGACAGCUACUGACACUCAACUACGAAAGCGUGGGGAGCAAACAGG